UACGUAGGUGGCAAGCGUUGUCCGGAUUUAUUGGGUUUAAAGGGUGCGUAGGCGGUCUUAUAAGUCAGUGGUGAAAUACGGCAGCUCAACUGUCGAGGUGCCAUUGAUACUGUAGGACUUGAGUACAGACGAGGUAGGCGGAAUUGACGGUGUAGCGGUGAAAUGCUUAGAUAUCGUCAAGAACACCGAUAGCGAAGGCAGCUUACUAGGCUGUAACUGACGCUGAGGCACGAAAAGUGUGGGGAUCAAACAGG
rnacentral:rRNA from 1 species